UACGUAGGGUGCAAGCGUUGUCCGGAAUUAUUGGGCGUAAAGAGCUCGUAGGUGGCGGGUCACGUCGGGUGUGAAAGCCCGGGGCUUAACCCCGGGUCUGCAUUCGAUACGGGCUCGCUAGGGUCCUGCAGGGGAGACUGGAAUUCCUGGUGUAGCGGUGAAAUGCGCAGAUAUCAGGAGGAACACCGGUGGCGAAGGCGGGUCUCUGGGCAGGUACCGACGCUGAGGAGCGAAAGCGUGGGGAGCGAACAGG
rnacentral:rRNA from 1 species